rnacentral:rRNA from 1 species
CCUAGUCUAUCGGUGGAAUCACUCGGCUCGU